GACGAACGCUGGCGGCGUGCUUAACACAUGCAAGUCGAACGGAAAGGCCCUGCUUUUGUGGGGUGCUCGAGUGGCGAACGGGUGAGUAACACGUGAGUAACCUGCCCUUGACUUUGGGAUAACUUCAGGAAACUGGGGCUAAUACCGGAUAGGAGCUCCUGCUGCAUGGUGGGGGUUGGAAAGUUUCGGCGGUUGGGGAUGGACUCGCGGCUUAUCAGCUUGUUGGUGGGGUAGCGGCUUACCAAGGCUUUGACGGGUAGCCGGCCUGAGAGGGUGACCGGCCACAUUGGGACUGAGAUACGGCCCAGACUCCUACGGGAGGCAGCAGUGGGGAAUAUUGCACAAUGGGCGGAAGCCUGAUGCAGCAACGCCGCGUGCGGGAUGACGGCCUUCGGGUUGUAAACCGCUUUCGCCUGUGACGAAGCGUGAGUGACGGUAAUGGGUAAAGAAGCACCGACUAACUACGUG
rnacentral:rRNA from 1 species